rnacentral:misc_RNA from 1 species
UCGCGGCUGGAUCACCUCCUUUCUAAGGAUAUAACGGAAAACUUUGGUUUCAUACCAAAGUUAAACAGUUGACGAUUUUUGUUUGUUUAGUUUUGAGGGAGUAAUUCCUCAAGACACACACAUUGUUCCUUGAAAACUAGAUAAUGUAAUGAAGAAGAAAGAAAGCCGAGUAAUCGCCACAAUAUAUACUCUUAACUAAGUUAAGAGUACAAACCGUGAGGGAAAUGAGUAGUUUAUCAUUUGCCGAACAAUGGUUAAGUUAGAAAGGGCGCACGGUGAAUGCCUAGGCACUAGGAGCCGAU